rnacentral:rRNA from 1 species
CGGGCGGGUGCCUAAUAAUGCAAGUCGAGCGCAGGAAGUUAUCAGAUCCUCUUCGGAGGUGACGAUAAUGGAAUGAGCGGCGGACGGGUGAGUAACACGUAGGCAACCUGCCUGUAAGACUGGGAUAACUCGUGGAAACGCGAGCUAAUACCGGAUAACACUUUUCAUCUCCUGGUGAGAAGUUGAAAGGCGGCUUUUGCUGUCACUUACAGAUGGGCCUGCGGCGCAUUAGCUAGUUGGUAAGGUAACGGCUUACCAAGGCGACGAUGCGUAGCCGACCUGAGAGGGUGAUCGGCCACACUGGGACUGAGACACGGCCCAGACUCCUACGGGAGGCAGCAGUAGGGAAUCUUCCGCAAUGGACGAAAGUCUGACGGAGCAACGCCGCGUGAGUGAUGAAGGUUUUCGGAUCGUAAAACUCUGUUGUUAGGGAAGAACAAGUACUAUAGUAACUGAUAGUACCUUGACGGUACCUAACCAGAAAGCCACGGCUAACUACGUGCCAGCAGCCGCGGUAAUACGUAGGUGGCAAGCGUUGUCCGGAAUUAUUGGGCGUAAAGCGCUCGCAGGCGGUUCUUUAAGUCUGAUGUGAAAUCUUACGGCUCAACCGUAAACGUGCAUUGGAAACUGGGGAACUUGAGUGCAGAAGAGGAGAGUGGAAUUCCACGUGUAGCGGUGAAAUGCGUAGAGAUGUGGAGGAACACCAGUGGCGAAGGCGACUCUCUGGUCUGUAACUGACGCUGAGGAGCGAAAGCGUGGGGAGCGAACAGGAUUAGAUACCCUGGUAGUCCACGCCGUAA